UACGUAGGGUGCGAGCGUUAAUCGGAAUUACUGGGCGUAAAGCGUGCGCAGGCGGUGAGCUGUGUCCGAUGUGAAAGCCCCGGGCUUAACCUGGGAAUGGCAUUGGAAACUGGCUCGCUGGAGUGUGGCAGAGGGGGGUGGAAUUCCGCGUGUAGCAGUGAAAUGCGUAGAGAUGCGGAGGAACACCGAUGGCGAAGGCAGCCCCCUGGGCUAACACUGACGCUCAGGCACGAAAGCGUGGGGAGCAAAUAGG
rnacentral:rRNA from 1 species